UACGGAGGAUCCAAGCGUUAUCCGGAAUCAUUGGGUUUAAAGGGUCCGUAGGCGGUCUUAUAAGUCAGUGGUGAAAGCCCAUCGCUCAACGAUGGAACUGCCAUUGAUACUGUAAGACUUGAAUUUUUGUGAAGUAACUAGAAUAUGUAGUGUAGCGGUGAAAUGCUUAGAUAUUACAUGGAAUACCAAUUGCGAAGGCAGGUUACUAACAAACGAUUGACGCUGAUGGACGAAAGCGUGGGGAGCGAACAGGAUUAGAUACCCUGGUAGUCCACGCCGUAAACGAUGGAUACUAGCUGUUCGGAGCAAUCUGAGUGGCUAAGCGAAAGUGAUAAGUAUCCCACCUGGGGAGUACGCACGCAAGUGUGAA
rnacentral:rRNA from 1 species